ensembl:lncRNA
GGAGAGACUGAGGGCCUGUCUCUGUCUCCUAGGUAACCAGGAGAGACUGAGGGCCUGUCUCUGUCUCCUAGGUAACCAGGAGAGACUGAGGGCCUGUCUCUGUCUCCUAGGUAACCAGGAGAGACUGAGGGCCUGUCUCUGUCUCCUAGGUAACCAGGAGAGACUGAGGGGGUUUAGUGAAUGUAAUGUAGCAGUGUUCACGUCAUUGACGUCGCAAUCAUGCUGUCCAUCAAGUCCUCCUUCCGAUGAAUGCCCUAACCUCGGGGGGACCUGGACGCUGAUUUUGAUUGAUUGACAAGUCACUAUGAACCGUCCUUCUGAUCUGAGCGAGAAGUGUGUGUGUUGUGUGUGAAACGUUAAUAUGUUCUGUGUGAAACGUUAAUAUGUUCUGUGUGCGUUCGUGCCGGUCUGUCUCCCGUGACGUUGCAUGUUGUCCACGGAACCACAGUACUACUACAGUUGCUUAGGAACGUUGCCGUUGUAAAAAGACCAGAUUGGUGCCCAUUCAACACAUCUAAUCUAAUGAAAGAGGAUCAUUUGUCAUAUCUGUUAUGAUGUAUGUUUUGUAACAAACCCACAUGUAGUUACUUAAGUCCCGAUAUAUUGGACUGUUUUCCCUGCGUAACAUGUAGAAGUUGUCCCUUUUUCAGGUUUAGAAGAAGAGGUGACCGCUAAAUGCUAACUCCCAUCCGUAUAAGCUGGUAGCAUAGCUAGCAUACAGAAAUCGUUGAUGGUAGUCAUGUCGUUUAAAAAAAAAACUAAUGCACUUGAUUGGUGACGAUGAGUUGAUAACGUCCACAC